rnacentral:miRNA from 2 species
UGAGUACCGCCAUGUCUGUUGG